CUCACUAAGGUGCACAUUCUGAGUAGGAUCAACACCAGAGUGGUUGUUGUCAAGAGAGCAGCUCUUACUAACGGUCUAUAGGCCUUACCUAAACAGGAAACCCUUGAAUCUUAGAUUUUCCCCAUUAUAAGGACUCAUUAUCAUCUGGCAUAUUCUGUCCCACUCAGGAGAUCUUCUAGAAUAGAGCUCUCAGCUUCUGCACUGCCUAGCCAUGCUCUUAGUGGUCAUUCUAUUGACUGGAAUGUUCUUCACACUGAGAGGAACCAGAGCCCAGUCGGUGACCCAGCUUGAUGGCCAUAUCACUGUCUCUGAAGGAGCCUCUCUGAAGUUGAGGUGCAACUAUUCCUAUAGCGGAACUCCUUAUCUCUUCUGGUAUGUCCAACACCCCAGCCAAAGCCUCCAGCUUCUCCUCAAGGACCUAACAGGGGCCACCCAGGUUAAAGGCAUCAAAGGUUUUGAAGCUGAAUUUAAGAAGAGUGAAACCUCCUUCCACCUGAGGAAGCCAUCAGCCCAUGUGAGCGACACAGCUGUGUACUUCUGUGCUGUGAGUGACACAGUGCCUGGGAGUGCAGGCAGAGCUGAACACAAACUUCCUGAGACAUGA